rnacentral:rRNA from 1 species
GAUGAACGCUGGCGGCGUGCCUAAUACAUGCAAGUCGAGCGAACAGACGAGGAGCUUGCUCCUCUGACGUUAGCGGCGGACGGGUGAGUAACACGUGGACAACCUACCUAUAAGACUGGGAUAACUUCGGGAAACCGGAGCUAAUACCGGAUAAUAUAUUGAACCGCAUGGUUCAAUAGUGAAAGACGGUUUUGCUGUCACUUAUAGAUGGAUCCGCGCCGCAUUAGCUAGUUGGUAAGGUAACGGCUUACCAAGGCAACGAUGCGUAGCCGACCUGAGAGGGUGAUCGGCCCCACUGGAACUGAGACACGGUCCAGACUCCUACGGGAGGCAGCAGUAGGGAAUCUUCCGCAAUGGGGGGGAGCAUGAUGGAGCAACGCCGCGUGAGUGAUGAAGGUCUUCGGAUCGUAAAACUCUGUUAUUAGGGAAGAACAAAUGUGUAAGUAACUAUGCACGUCUUGACGGUACCUGAUCAGAAAGCCACGGCUAACUACGUG